UUUUUUUUGGGAUAAACUUUAAAGUUCAAAUACCACCUCUUUGAUUUCACACUUUCUCACUUUAGUACAAUAUCAUUUUUAUCUUUUCGUCGACUUUUUCAUUUAUAUUUUAUUAAAUUAUAUACCAAAAACUUCAGAUAUCCACCUAGGUUUAUCAAAUAUUCACUUUAGUAUUCUUUAAUUUUAACUUUAUCACAGAAUGAAGAAAAAGAUUAGUGAAAUCGAUAAUAAAAAGAUAAAAAUAAAACCACAAGGCACUAAAUUAAUAUAUUUUAAAUCAUAUGGUAUUGAAAUAAGAAAGUGUGAAACUACAGUGGUGAUUUUUAAAGUUUUUUGUUUUUUUAAUGAAAAUUUUUAUCUGGGUUCCGGGAUUUUACUACAAACUUAAACAUUUUGGAAAAAAGUUUCUGCUAAGCAACUUUCAGUAAGAUUUAGAAAUAUUUUGUUACUACAAUUUAUUUUAUUUAUUUAUUUGGUAAAAUGUGUGGAAACGUACUCAAUUACGUCGGAUAUAGAAAAAUUCUACACACUGAAUAAACUCACCGUUCGUUUGUUCGUAAGUACAAAAUUGUAAAGAUUGAAACUGUGCCUCAUUCGAGCUUCUCUCCACAGCAAAUUUCAUAUUGUAGCGCACACCUAACUCAAAUCGGAGCUUCAAUUGAGCGCAACUAAAAAAUAGUAUCCCAAGGUUUCAAGUUCAAAUCCUAGUUGAUUCACAUUUUCAGCUAAGUUUAUUUCUAAAUAAAAUAAACGAAACGAGUAGCGUGCUACCUAUUUCUCUCUCUCAAAAAAAGAAUAGUAUCCCAAUAUUAUGUGCUAUAUCCGAGUUGAAACUUUUGAUUAGUUCAAGAUAUGCCCUUUAAUUUAAGCCGAUCAUGUUCAGAAUCUUCUCAUCUAAUUUUCACAGAAUGAUUUUCUUAUAUUGUAUACUCAACAAAAACUAGAGAGAGAGAGAGAGAGAGAGAGAGAGAGAGAGAGAGUAUGGAAUUGUGUUAAUCUUUUCUAGAUUUUUUUUUUUUUUGGUAGAAAGUUUCAGGAAAACACCAGGCAAUUAAUGCAACUAUUGGCUUUUUUUUUAACUUGUGAAACAACCGUUGUACUCUAAAAGUUUAAGCUGUUAGAGAACGGUGUUUAAACAUUUUUAGGCUCGAGACUUUUUAAUUGGCCCAUGACGUGGGCUUGAAUUAAAUGGGAGGAAAUUAAUAUGCUAAGAGCCUAACGUGACUCGAACUCAGGACCUCCUGCUCUGAUACCAUGUGAAACAAUCGUUGUACUCUAAAAGUUUAAGCUGUUAGAGAACGGUGUUUAAACAUUUUUAUAUUUAACAUAACUCUUUUUCUUUUUCUUUUUUUUUCAGGAUGAAUAAGUUUACAUACACUCAAGAACUCAGAUUCCAUUAUGUUGGCAAUGAUUAUGCUGGCAUCCAAAUCCUAGGAUUCUAAUUAGCUCACUGUGAUUCCAUAUUCCAUAUGGAAGAUUAAAGAGCACAUAAAUAUGUUAUAUCACCCUCUGUGUUUCUAAUAUCCAAUAGGCCAAAUUGCACUGUUGGUGCUCAAACUAUGAGAUGCGCGACACUCGAGUUCUCAAACUUUAAUUUAUUACAAUUUUAAUUUUGCUUAAUCUUUUUGAAUAGUUGUAAGCAAAUGAGAUAAUGUGACAGCAAAAUAGAAGUAUUAUGAUUCAUAAUGUAAGAAAAUAUAAGAUGCCAUGCAUAUUAUUACCAUGUUUUUACAAAUCAGCGGCACAUCAUCAUUCAGCUAAAAAAGUUGGUGCUGUGAGACUUGAUUGCGAUAUAUAAUAUAGAAAAUUUAAAUCAAAAAUUAUAAUAAAUUAAAGUUUGAGAAUUAAAAUGUCACACACGACGUAUAGUUCGAGGACCAAAAGUGCAAACUACAUGCAUGCAUGUACAUACAUGCUCACAAUAUUCUUUUUGAAUGUCAAAUAAUUGAGUACAUAUGAUUCUAUGGCUUGAGUUUAUAGCUUAAGAUGGGUCCCUUAUCAUCAUUUCCAUCUAUCAAAACCCCUAACUAUUAUCCUACACACAUUUAGAACAUUAGGGGCAUUGCAAAAUUCUCCACAUGUAUGAUUAAUUAUUCAAUCAUCGAUCCUGGUGGGAUUCAAACUCAGAAAUAUCCCUUUUUUUGUACCACGUGAAAUAAUCGAUUACUCUAAAAGCAAAUUAAUUGCUUGAGAUGGUGUUUUUGACCGUUCACAUACACCGAGCAACACGUACACGGAAAAAAAAGAAAGAAAUUGAAUGAGGACCACCUCAUUUUUCACAGGGUAUACGAGAUUACUAAAUAGCCCGUCACGCCAUCUGAGCGAGAUCUCGUUAAGGCGCUCCUCAGAGAAGUCGUGCUCCGAGUGUAGAACUAUUACUCCCGUCAUAUAUCAUGACUACAGUACAUGUACGAUUAAUUAUCCAAUCAUCAAGUGAGAUUCAAACUCGGAAAUAUCCCCUAUUUUUGUACCACGUGAAAUAAUCGAUUACUCUAAAAGCAAAUUAAUUGCUUGAGAUGGUGUUUUUGAUCGUUCACAUACACCGAGCAACAUGUACACGGGAAAAAAAGAAAGAAAUUGAAUGAGGACCACCUCAUUUUUCACAGGGUAUACAAGAUUACUGAAUAGCCCGUCACACCAUCUGAGCGAGAUCUCGUUAAGACGCUCCUCAGCGAAGUCGCGCUCCCAUCAUAUAUGGAUACAGUACAUAACCAGGUGCCUUGGAUCCUCUUUUAACAAAGAGAAGGGCAGACAGUACUAGUGGCUUGCUAAAAGUGAUGCUAUUCUGGUCUGUCAUCUCUGAAACAAGGCUGGACAGAUUAGGGCCCUGCUCAAGGAAUAUAACUACUCAUGCAUGCCAUGGGUCCCCAUCUUUUCAAUUAUUACAAUUCGGUCCCUAACCUUCGCUUUUUUAUUAAAUGGAAAUGGCCUUAUAUUAUACAUACAUGAAAAUAGUGUUUUUAUGUUAUGUUUACUGUCUCUCUCAUGUUUGGACUCAAAACUUGUCACAAUAAGCAUAAGACGCGGGCUUAAAUUGAAAUGAGAGAAAAUUAAAUUAGAUCAGAAGUUUUUAACUCUAUCGUACGAAAUAAUUAUUUUUAGCAUUUUAAUCUGUUUAAAUAAAAAAUUAAUUCGCUUCAAAAAAGAGAGGGAGAAAAUUCUCAUCCUUUCUUAGCAUCUGAUAAUAAUAGAAGAUGCUGCAUAUAUAUCUUAUUAUUAAUUUCUAUAAAAGAUUGUGAACAUUUGAAGAUGACAAUUUCCUUUCUUAUUCUUUCAAUCCAAAACAAUCAAAAAGAUCAGAGAAUUUUACUGUUAUGGAGGCUUCUUACACAUUCAGUGAAAUGAAACCUUAUUUAAUCCUGCAUGUUUUUCUCCAUGUAUGAAGCUUCAAACAUGAUGUAAAAGAAAACAAAAAGAAAUAUUCAUUGUUUGCUGCUUUUUAUAGGGGGGAAAAAUGGUCAAAAAAACUUCACAGUUUGAGCAAUUGGGACUUGGUUAUAAUUUUGAAAGAUAUAAUUCCCAGAUCCUCAUAUGUGUAUGAACACUUAAAAUUACAAAUCUAUUUUUUUUAAGAAAAAGAAGGGGAAAAAAAAAAGCCAUUGAGUUGGUGGUUUCAGAGUCCACCAAGUACCAACUACCCUCAUUUAUUAUGCAUUUACACAACAACACAAAUAGUGAAACAGUGAAUUAAAACACAAGCACACACUUUUCCUACUUCCUUAUUAAAUUCUUUCUUUAGAUCUCUCAAAUAAUAAAAAAAAUAAAAAAAAAAGUUGACUAUCCAUAUUCACAUCUACAAAAGUGAAUGAUCACAAGUACUACAACAUCAAAAUAAAAAAAAAAAACCCACAAAAACAAAUAAUAAUACAAGCAAUCAAAAUGCUACACGUACAUCCCAAAUAGGGGUGUACAGCUUACACUCUUGCAUCUAAGGAUUUAUAAAACUCUUUUAAAUUUUUAGCAAAAUAACAAUAAUAAUAAGACUAGCGGAUGAAUCCUAGCCAUUGAAACCCCAGGGUGCACAUCUUACACCUAAGUUAUAGGUGUACAUGUAGCAUUACUCUUUACAAAAUAUAUUUAAUUAGGUUUUUGCAUUUGACUACCUAUUGGAAUCUGGGUUUGGGCCACUUGGAACUUCAUGCUUGCUUGCAUUGAACUUGGUUGAAGAGUUUGAUACCUUCUUUGGAGCCAACUUCAUGGAUUGUGAUGUAGAAGAUGAAGAAGAAGAAGAAGAAGAAGAUGAUGAUGAUGAUGAUGAUGAUGGAGUUGAGAACACAAGUUGUUGGGAUUUAUGAGCAAAUGGGAGCAAAAUGAGGCAAAGGAGAACACCAUGAAGCAGCACAUUUGCCAUGAACUCUAUUUUGUAGUGCAAAAGGGUUUAGUCAAUGUCCAUGAAAGAGUAUUGAGGAGAAAAGAGGGGUUGCUUGGGAAAAAUGUUAGGGCACAUGAUAUUGGAUAGGGGAGAGGUAAAAGGCCAAUACUUUGAUGACUAGGGUGUUGUCAUGUGGUAAAGAGGACAUUGAAUAGGGGUGGAGGAAGUUACAUGAGUGCCCUCCCAUUGGAUAGGAGCUUGGUUGUUAAGGCUCAUUAAUUAUGUCCACAUUAAUUUGUACUCUUUCAUGGAUUGGUGGUGUAGUAAUUGUGAGAGAGAUUUUUUUGGGGUAAAACAUGGUGAAACCCUCACUACCAUUGGAAUUUCCACAAUGACCCUUUAAAACAAUUAUAAAAAGCACGGCAGAAAUGAUUAGCUUGUACAGUACAAAUAAGCACAUCAGCAGUAACAGUUAGGAGGCAGCGUAAAAGAUUAACCUAAUUUUUACCAUGUUUAGUCACGAUUGAAGUGAUAGAUUCUACUUAUGGAGGAACAAUAAUAUUGAAGAAGAUAGGCGAAUCAGACGUAGGCUCUAAAAUUUUGAGAGGGGCAAAGUGGAAAUCAUGAUACCAAUAGAGGUUUCUUGCAAUAUAUACUUUUGAAAUUAAGAUCAUCAUCAUCAUACAAUGUGUCAGGGAUUAAUGAUUACUUUCUUUAGUAAAUCUUAGAUACUUUUUAAGUAGUUUUUGAGUGCUUGAGAAGUUUGACUCAUCAUAUAUUCCUCCUCUUACUCUAGCAUGAGGGUCACUCAUUUAAUAUUGCUUCCUAAAAGUUGAGAACCAUAUCUAUCCAAAAAAAAGCAUUCAAAUCUCUCUGAAUCAGAGCUCAACUCCAAGAUAUAUAUAUAUGCACUUUUCUCUAGUUGUCUCAGCCUUUUUUAUAUAGAAUAUAAGCUUGUUUAGUUGUUUAAGUCUUAAAGUAUGAUAAAGGGCAAAAAAUACCAACUUAAUUAUUAUUUAACUAUGUUCACAAAACAAAAAUGGAUGUAGAUAUUAUUUAUCACUAGCUAUAUAUUGUUCUUUGAAUGCUUUGUUAGUAUUAGCAUUGCAAAUUUACUACUUAUGUACUCUAAUGCAAAUUAUGAAAGAAUUACUCUAUUUAAUUAUUCUCAUGUCCCUCUCUUUUAAUUAUAGUGGCAAUGCAUGGAUUGGAUUGAGACUGAUAAUAUGGCACCUAAAAGCAUCAUUUUUAUAUUAUAAAAAGCUCAAAACUAGGCUUGAAUAUGCUUUAGAUUCGGUUGAGGUGGUGCAGUAAAACCACUUAAGGUUGAAUGGAACUCGAUCCAAACCAUAAGUGGGUUAAUGUGACUUGACCCAAACUUGACCCGUUUAGUAAACGGGCCACCUCGAACCAUUUAUCUUGAGUUGGUUGAGACUCGAAUUGAGACUAAGUAGAAUAACAACAAAUUUUCUCUUUUUUAAUUAAAAUCUUAGUCACUUUAUUUAGUUUUUAUUUAACAUAUUCGGUUUGAUAGGAAUAGAUCAGAUUCAUUAAAUUUAUAUAGAUUCAAUCAAAUAUGUGUAACUUUGAAGAGAGAGAGAGAGAGAGAGAGAGAGAGAGAGAGAGAGAGAGAGAGACUUAAACAUAAUACAACUAUACUAUGGCUUUUUCUUGCUUGUAAGGUUGUGCUAAAGAGAGAAGUGCUUUAUACUUUUGUGGGAGAAAAGAGGGGGAGGCUUAAUAAGCAAGUGCUUUUCCCAAAAGCAAAGAGAGAAUCUCAUUUGGAGAAGUGCUUCUCUAAAAAUCUCUAUCUCAAUACCUGUGGAGUUGCAGAGGUUGUCCACUCACUAGGGUGCAAAAUGACCAUGCAUUCACACUUUGGUAUGUGCAUGUGGUAUCUAAAGAUAGAAUUCUACUUUUAACAAAUAAUGCCAGGUGAAAACAAUGAGCCCAAUAAUUUUGGCUUUCUCAUUCUACAAGGUGACCUAAUUGAUUCCUCUUCUAAAAUAAUUUUAUAAUAAUUAAGUGUAAAAUAAUAUUAAAAUAAUCGUAAAAUAAUUGUUGCCGUCGUUAAAAGCUCUAAACGGAUUUGGAUUUUGAGGCUUGCUGAUAGGCUCAGGACGUGAACUUAUAUUAGGAGUCAGUUUAUCAAUAUAACUUAUACAUAUGAGCCUGUCUGUAGCCGUCGCUUUCUGUAAUUGUGACACUAGCUUGUUUCUGAUGUGGUAGAAGCACUUUGGGCUUUUCAAAAUGCAGAGUCGAACAUGCACUCUAAAAUAAAAGGAAACUAAAUUAAACGAAAUUAACUAUGAGCCUAAUGAGAUUUAGAUUGCUCUCAUUCCAUGUUAAAAUAAUGUCAAAAUAAGUUUUUGUCUCUAAAAGCUUAAACUAUCGAGAGUUGUGUUUUUGAUGCUUUAUAUUCAACAAUGAGAAUUAUUGGCUUAUCACCAAAAAUAAAUAUCUAUUAUUAAAAAUGGUAAAACAUAAAAAGUUGUUGCUGUAGCAAAGCGCAAGGACAUAUUACUACCAUGUAAUUUGAAGAACAAUAUUUUAUCCUCCCACAACUUCUAAUUUAAUUUUCUAUCAAUGUUGUUGCUAAAAAGACUAUAGUGCUAGCUAUUUUAGAGAAAUUAACCAUAAAAUUGUGAAGUGUACGUAAUUAAAGGAUGAUAUUGCCGCAUUUUUACCAUCCUUUAUAAAGUAUAACAGUUUAUUAUUUCUUUAGCAUUAGAUCAAUUGCAAAAACCAAAACAAAAAAUCAUGAGAGAGUACCAUGCUAUACUUUAAAUGCAAUAGAUAAAGCCUUUUUAAUAGGAAAAACUUUAAAUACCACCUCUGUGAUUUCACAUAUUUUCACUUUAAUAUCAUGUAGUUUAAAGUAUAUCAAUUUAGUCCCAUGUGGCUUCAUUUUUAUUUUUUUAUUAUCGAUUCUACUAAUUUUUUUAUUAAAUCGGUGACAAAAUUAAAACUAAAGGGUACUAAAGUGAAUAUUUGAUAACAUAGGUGGGAUAUCUGAAGUUUUUUGUAUAUAUAUAAUUUAACGAAAUAUUAAUGAAGAAGCUGACAAAAAGAUAAAAAUAAAAUCACAAAAUACUAACUUUUUACACUUUAAACCACAGAAUAUUAAAGUGAGAAAGUGCGAAACUACAUGGGUGGUAUUUGAAGUUUAUCAUUUUUAAUAUGACAAUUUUUUAUACAAAUUUCAAUGGAUUUAUUCUGAAAAUAAUUUUACAAAAGUAAUAAUGUAAUAUCAUUCUCUAUUUACUAACUAUAGUAGAUUAGAUGGUUGGGUACAACAACCAGCUAAGAAGAACAUAGAGACUACAUCAAAUCAUGGUCAAAAAAAAAAAGAGGCAUCUUAGAUAAGUAAAAAAAAGAAAUUUCUCAGGGAAAAAAAAAAAAGCUGGUUUGUGAGAUGACCAGUGAUAAGGACAACCCCUUUUACUUUAAUUCAAUCAUAGCAGAGUGAUGAACCUGCACUUUGGAGUGUGCAUGCUCUGAAAAAAAAUAAAAUAAAAUAAAAUCAUCUUCUUAUAUAUUAAAUUCAGGGUUUUUGGCAAGCAUUUUAAGAAAAUUUUCUUCUUAAUUUAAGCAAGCAGUUGGAAACAAUCAACACUUAAAUAUUAAAAAAACUCUACCUUAAAAGCUUAGAUUUUUCAAAGAAAAAUAAUCAUUUCACUGACAUAUAAUAUUAGAGUAUGAGACCCUAAGUCCCUAAGUUCGAGUUUCGUCAGACUCCUAUAUAAGUUAUUUAAUUUUUUUAUUUAAUUCAAAUUCAUAUUUUGGAUCUAUUAAAAAAUAUCAAUGUCAUACCUAAGUGUUUGAUAUAAGCAUUAAAAAUACCGCUCUCUAGAAACUUAAGUUUUUAGAUAAAAAAUGGUUGUAUAACAUAAUUUAGUACUUGCAAUUUGAUUUUCUAUAAAUUCUUUCAAUUUAGGAACUCAAAGAAGCUUGUGAAUUUCCAUUAUGACCUUGUCCAUUUGCACUAAUAACUUUAAAAGUUUGAGGAAGGUCAUUUUAUAAUCAAUUAAAUUUAGGGCAGUGCUCUGAAAUUAGGGAUGCCAAUGGGUAUGGAUACCCGAAAUUUUAUCCGAACCCGAACCCGAAUGAAAUGGAUAUAUCCGAUGGACAUGGAUUUGGAUAUGGAUAUCAAAAAUAGAAACCCGACGGAUAUGGAUUCGGAUAUGGAUUUUGAUUGUACCUGACCCGAACCUGAACCCGAAUUUAUUUUGUAUUAUACAAAUUGAUGUUAUAUAUAUAAAUUGAUGUUAUAUUUGAAUUUGUAUUUUAAAAAUUUAGAUUUAAUAUAAUAUAUUUUGAAAUAUUGAAAAAAGAAAUAAUUGUUUCGGGUUCAAAUUUUCCGGUUCGGGUUCGGAUUCGGGUUUCGGAUUUUUGGUCGGAUUCGGGUUUGGAUAUGGAUUUUUAAAAUCCGUCGGGUUCGGGUCUCGGGUCUCGGGUUCGGAGUCGGAUUCGGGUUCGGGUUUUUAAAAAUUCACCCUGAAUCCGACCCGUUGACAUCUCUAUCUGAAAUCAUGUGAAACAACUGAUUACUUUAAAAACUUAAGUUGUGAGAGAACAACAAUUUUAUAUUCUACAUUCUACCACAUAACAUACAUACCAGAAGAUCAGUGGAUAUUGCACAUAUCCAUAUAAGGCAUCAAAGACAUUUCCUUCAAGUUUCAUUAUAUAUUUAUAUCAGUUGAAGUAAAAUUAGGCAUUACGAACACAGACACGGCACAUAUAACACGACACAAUUCGGAUACGCCAACUUGACAGUUUCGAAAAAAUUAGAACAUGGACAUGGCAUGGAUACCGCUAAUAAAAUAUAAUAUUAUUAAUAUAAUAGUAUACAUUUAUUAUAUAUAAAAUAUUAAUUUUGCUAAAAUAUUAUUAUAUUUCUCGUACGAAAGUUAAUAAAAUUUUUAUCGAUAGUUCAUAUAUUUUUUUUAAAAAAAUUCUCAUCAUACAUAAUUUUUUAUAUUAUCCAAAAAAAAUUAUGUGCAUUUAUUAAAAGGUCAAAAUAUCUAUCAUUUUAUAUUAUCUAUGCAUAAAAAAAAAAUUAUAUAUAUAUAUUUAUAUAUUAAUGGGAUGCGCCAUGGACCCGCAUCGAACUCGCGUCCAUGGUGUGUCUCCGUCAACCAUGCUUGUGUCCAAUACAGACACACGAAUUUUAUAAAAAUGUCUGUGAUACAUGGAAGUAAAAUCACUAUCUAAUUUUGUUUAUGUUUAUAUGGAAAGGGUUACUCAUGCAAAUAUUUAUGUUUUUAUGGAGUAAUACUUGUAUGCAAAGGUUGUUUUUUUUUUUUUUCAAGUUGGUUAAAAUGUAUUGGUGUUUCUUGUUCUCUCCCAAUAAUUGUGACUGCAUCCCUGUACAAUCAACAAGAAUACAUUAGACCAUGAAAUUUUAUCAAUCAAAAUUGUGUAGUAAUGCAAAUUAUUGAUAUUAUAACACUUUGAUGUAUAUUACAAUUACAAUGUUGUAUUCUGAUACUUGAUACAGAUUACAAGAUCUCGCCACGCAAUUUCGAACAAUUCGUAUCCAUCAUACAUGUUCAUGUGCUAAAUUGAAAUAUUGGCCCCUUUAAGAAUCGCGGCGAGCGCGACAAUUAUGACAACAAGAAGGAUUAUGAUGGCAAAGCACAUAUGCUUCCUUGUGUUCCUCUGUAUCUUCUUGGCUACUUUCAGAGUCUCAGUUGCCUUCUGGACAUGAUCAAUUGAAUUGGAGACCUAAAAACAAGUCAGACUAAAUGUCAGAGUAGAACAUAGUGAGAAAGAAAAAAAGACAGCAAUCUAGGGCUCGUUUGAUGUCGUCGUCAUUUUCGUUAACCACAAAUAUUUUGUAAUUAUAUGCGCUGACAGAUAGGCUUUUCUAAUAUCGACAUCGUCGCUUUUCUUGAUAUAGAAUGAUACUUUAGAAAGUUUGAGCCAGAAAUUGUAGUAGAUUAAAGUUUAAGGACCAAAGUAUCAAGGAUUUUAAAGCUCGAGAACCAAAAAGUGCUAAAUAUAUAGAUUAUGCGCAAUCGAGCAUAUGUCUACGCACUUCAUAGCUAGAAUCUGUGUCUCAAAAAAAAAAAAAAAAAAAAAAAAAAAAACAGCAACGAUACCAAAUGAGGCCUUAAUUUGUCAAUUCUAAGAGGAGGGUGAGCUGGACCUGAGCUUCAAUAUCAUUCAGCAUGUCUCCUUGUGCAUCAACCAACACAGCCAUGUCCAAGAACAUCUGACACAGUUGCAAAUUUUCAUGAGGUAAGAAAAUGUUCAUGAAAAAUAAAUUUUCGCGUUGCGCGAAUUCGAUCUGCAGUGACAUACUUGCUGCAAAUCAUGAAGCUUCUUCUCUAGCUCGAGGACGGCGUCGUGCCGCUCUUGAAUCUCUGCUACUGUGUCAAUAAUCUGCACAACUUAUACUGUAAAAAGUCAGCAUCUUCAAUAGAGUUUCGACAAGGAGAUUUGGCGAGGAUAUACACAAAUCAUACCUGCCCUCGACCGUAACCUUGGAUUGCGUUCUCGAAUAUAUGCUCGCUAUUUCCGGUCUCUAUCAGCUGAUCGAUCGUCUGUUCCACAAUUUUCAUGAUUAGUAGUAUAAGAGAUCUAAACUUAAACUUAAGUCUAAUCUUACCUCCUCGUCAGGUCGGGUUCCAGUUACUGCAAAAGUAGGAAUAGGGCGGAGAAUUUUGUUACAUGUUAAUGAUUAAAAUAAGUUCAUUUGAUGAUUAUUUGUGGAGAUAAAAUGUGGUUACCUGUGAAUACCCUCCGCUCGACUAAUUCACGGUAUUCAUCUUGAAUGUUUUGCCUAAAAGUCUGCGAGAAUGAGAUCGAGUGUACAUGAAGAAUCAAAAUUAUUAUAUGCCCAUAAAAGGAAACUCUAUUCCCCCUUGCAAAGUUAGUGAUUUAUAAACCUACUUUACCUGAAAUUGCGACAUACGCUCUUUCAAUUUCUUUUUCAAAGCACUGCGCGGAAAAAAGGGAGAUAAAUAGAAGAGAAAUUGCAAGGCUAAUUUACCGAAAACUGCAUAAAUUUCUUUUUGCAGAAUUACUUAUGUCAGUUAUGUGUUAAAUGAGCAGAGCCUUUCAGAUUAAUCAGAGAUUUGUAUUCGCAUAAUUACAUGUGUGUAAGAUGUUCUAUGAUCAAUCCUUUUUCUUCCUUUUUCUUUUUUCUUUUUUCACACAAGCAAUAGCAACUUACUUACACAGUCAUUGCCAUUCUGGAACGGUCGAUCGCAGUUCCCUUUUCGCAUCCUGAUUUCUGCUGAUUGGCUAAAUUCUGCAUCCAUUAAUUUCAUGUAAGGAAUUUUUCAUUAAUGCAUUACGAAUAAUUUAAGUGACAUCUUUCACAAUUUCAAGAUCCAGUAGUUGACGACACGACAGGUUAAACAUUCAACUCACAUCUUUAUCGAGCUGUUCGAGGCUUGUUUUCACUUUCAGCGCAAUUUUCGCGACUUCUUCGACAUCCUUCUCCAUUCUUUCUUUGAUUGCUGAAUCAAAACAAGGAUGAAAUAUGUACGCGAUCAAUGCCAUAAUAGUCGAAUAUUACAUCGCAACAUAUGGGGGAAAAAGGAUUUAUAAAUUCGAAGGCCCACCUUUCAUUGCCGAGGCCUUUGUCACAUGCUGGGACUCCUCAUUUUCAGCCUAAUUCAAUUGAUAAUGAGUUCCACGAGAUCGAAGCUUUUAAGAUGUUCGUAUAAUGUAAUCAAACUCUUUUACGUAUGAUACCUGAAGCUUAUGCAGUUGAGUGGUGAUCCUCUCUAUUAAUUUCUCUAUUUCUCCAACCUGCGAGGCGAAAAUACAUAUCAAUGGGUUGUAAAAUACAGAAAAAAGAAAGAGAAAUUGAAAUUAUCAAAAUCGAUGGAAAUAAAUUUCUUGACCUCUGAAAUCUAAUUCCAUUCUGCAGCGAAAUGACGGAAAUAAUUUGCGAAAACCAAAUCUAUACUUGUCCUAAACAUACUGACAAUACUAUAGCUAGUGCUGUGAAUUGUAUUUAUAGUUCACAAAAAAGGAUCAAUAUGCGAAUAAAUUAGUGACACAUUCUAUUCUAAGGGCUUGUUUAGCUGCACUGAAGGUUCUGCAAAAAUGUUGUUUCGUAAGAGCUGAUUAACUAAGCUCUGUCACAUAUUUUUUCUUUAAGAAACUCCUGAAACUUUUUAAGUAGGACUUUUCAUUUUCAAUGCUCAUAAGCUCAUUUUUUGCUUUGUACAGUAGAGAAUCUAUUUUAGAAGCAAGAUGAAAAGGGCAAUAGGGAAUCUGAAACUUUUCGAUACAAAAACUAUGCUAUCGUAUCGCUGAAUUUCUCUGCUUAGAAAGAUCAAUUAAUGAAGGGAAAGUACUGUAAACUUGACUGAAAAACUAUCUUAAAAUACAGAAAAAUUAUGUAACCUGUUUAAAAAACCCUUCCAUUCCCAUAUCUCUUGCGUCGGACGAAAACCUCCCCGAAUCGAACCCUCCUUCUCCAGGGUAACGGCCGAUCACCCUUUCAAAUGAUUCCUAUUAGCACAAAUCAAAAUAUAAUUCCAACAUUUAAUUAUUAAUACUCAUGUUUCCUUUAAAAAAAAUCUGUUUAUUCUGAUAUCUGUUAUGACAGAGAAAAAUACAGCAGCUAUUACAGACAAAAUUUGAUGGAAAUUGAUGCUAUAAUUAUCCAAAUUGAUAAGUCUAUGAAUAAAUUUGCAUUAAAAAAACAAAAAUAUAGAGAUUUUUCAGGUAAUAUUAUAUAAUUUGCCAAAGAAAACGCACAAAUUCGUACGAACCGAAGCUCAAACACAUUAAUUUUCUGAAAAUUUUAUUGCUAAUUCGAGAAAUUAACCUAAUUCACAAAAAAAUCAACAAAUAAAAAGAAAUUAGGAACUAAAAAAGACGAAUUGGGAGAUACCGUCAUAAGAUUGUUCAUCUUGAUCGGAAAUUUUGCGUUGUUAUUUGAGAGGAUUAAAGAGUUUAGGGUUUUCCGACCCUGUUUUUUGCAAGAGGAGGGAAUGGGUAAGGAGAAUAAUAAUAAUAAUAAUAAUAUAAUAAAUAAAAACAAUAAAAUUGUUUUCUUUUUUAUGUCUAAGUAAUUUCGCGCCAAGGGCGGAGAGGUGAUCUGGCGCUUCCCCGCCAAAAAUAACGGCUAUAACGGUCGAUAUGUGAAUUUCCGAAAUUGCCCCUGUCGUUGUACCCGAUUCAUAGGGUCCACACGUUUGCUACAAAUGUUUGUUGCAAAUGGUUACAUGGACCCGGUCCACCACGUCAUCCAUGAACCAUUUCUUUUUUUUUUUUUAACUAGAGAGGUUUAAAAAUCAGAGGUUCCGUUUGGUUACUUAUGGUUAUAAAUACAAUAUAAUUAGAGACAUGUACAAUUAAAAAUAUGUCAGAUAUUAUUUUUAACCUUCUUAAUAAGAUACCUAAAUUGCUGCAACUAUAUUUUUUUAGGUUAAUUACGAUUAGAGCUGCAUUUACAUAUUUUACUACAUCAAAAGAAGAGAAAUUUAGCUAACAUUAUUCCUACGGCAAAUAUUGGAUAGUCAAUUUAAAAUAGUUUAUAGGUCAGAUAAGUAUCGUAUAUUUUUACCAUAAAAUAUUAAAACAUCGUACUAUAGUAGCUAGCAUAUGUAAGGAUUUAGAAUUUAGAUAGUUGUCGAUUAACUAUAAAAUGACAUUAGUAGAGCUGGAUUUUCUGAGUUCAAGUUUUGUCGGGCUCUCGAUGGUGUCAAAUAUAUCUUUUUAUUUACUUCAAGUCCACAACUCAGUCCCUUUGAAUCUAUCGAAAGUUCUGAGUCAGACAUAUUAAAUUACCAUUAUCUAGGGUGGUAUUAUGGCUCAUCUUAUAAAAGUAUCAAAAAUCUACAUUUUGCUUCUUUAUAAUUUCAUAAACAUUUUCAAGAGGGUACGAUGUUAAUGGAAAGGAUAAAAUGACCAAAUUGUCCCAACUUCUUAUAUAAGAAAAAAAUAAUUUUUUAAUAUAUUUUUAUUAUUUUGAAAGAUAUUUUCAGUAUAAAUUAUAAGAAACAGACAUAAUAGUGAUGGACCCUGAUGGAGGGGGGAUUAAAUGCAACAGUGUGAAAUAUUAAGGGGGUAAAAUAUAGGUUUUGAAAGUAAUGGAGGAAAAGUGAAAAAGCAAAUAUUUAUAAAAAAAGUUUUCUGAUUUAGCUAUAAAAAUAUAUUGAAAUGUAUUUCUCUAUUUUUCGAUGAAAUUAUAAAUAAUAUAUCAUAAUUGACUCAUUGCGGUAUACGGAACAUAAUUAAUACUAUAUAUGAAAAAUAAAUAAAUAUUUUCUCAUCAUAUUUUUUUACUGCACGUAGUGCAUUGCAUUAUCUACACCAAUCUCAAAAACUAUUGGCAUGAGUGCUUAAUUCAAUAAUAAAAAAAAAAAAACACUUUUUAUCCCCGCGCAUGCAAAGGUGGCCAAAUCACACAAAUGGAGUUCUCCUCUGUAAAGCAAUUGCAAGAGAUUUCACAUCCAAAAAAAUAGAGGUAAAAAUGCAUGGAGACCCCUCACCUAUAGGGAAUUUCGAUUUAGCCUACUCAAUUACCUUAAUUUUUUUUGAAUUGACACCCCCUCUGACUCCUGAUUUUAAUCAAAAACAAAUUGAGAGGUUUAAAAUAAAACUAGGCUAAUUAACUGUUAAUUACUUACUAACAGAGUCGUUAUAUUUGAUAAAAUUUUUUACCUAACUGAGUAUAAAAACUCAAAUAAUAAAAAAAAAAAGUUGAGGGGUUUAUUUCAAAAUCUCCUAUAGUUGAGGGGUUUUCCAUACAUGUCUUAUCUUUUUCUAAAUAAAUAUGUGCAGAACUUUUAUACAUGCUAACCAAAAAUUAAAUAAAAAUAAAAAUAAAAAUAAAAAAUCUAGUUACAACUCAGGCUUUAACAUGCGUGCAAACCUUUCUUUCUAAAACAUUUUCUAAUUAAUACUUUAUCAUGUAGUGGGAUAUUGCAUAUGGUGGUUUCAUUUCAAAAAUAUUAAUUAUUAUUAUUAUGUAUAUGUAUAUGGUGGUUUCAACGUAGAUUUUGCACCAUUAAUUGAUCUCCACAAUUAUGCAACUUGGUGAAAUCUUAAGUGACAAAAACUUUAUCUUCUUAUCUUAAUAAUAACUACUUGCGAUUUUCCUAAACAUGUCACCUUCGUAAGAUUCGAAAUCUAGCGCAAAAAACUCUUACACAUUAUCUAUUUGAUAUUAUAUAUAUAUAUAUAUCUAUAUAUUAUAAUAUAUAUAUAUCAUAUAUAUAUAUAUAUAUAUAUAUAUAAUAUAUGAGUGAGGCUACUAUGCUAUCGAAGCGCACGGAGCCUUCCGUGCUUCCAGCUUGUUUUCGAUGUGCGACUUCGAAUCUCUCGAUCGGCUCGUUAAUUUGAUCUGAGUAUUUGAGGUACCUAGAGAAUUAAAUUUUUAAUUUCACGAUAUCAUUUGCCUAGUGAACGAAGGGGCUCAAAUCAACGGCUGAAAAUAAAAUUUACAAAAUGUAAUAAUAUGACAUUAAAAUUUUAAAUCAAGAUAUUGGUGCUUGUUUUAUAUAGUAUAAAGAAUUUUCUAUCAAAAUUUCACGUGAUUUGGAUAUUCUCUACACCGUUAAACUUACAAACGGCUCAUACGCCAUUGAAAAUUGUUGAUUUGAGCCCAUUCGAUCACUAGGCCAAAUGAUGAUCGAAAAUAAUAAAAUUUAUUUUCUAGGUACUCCAAAUACUCUAGAUCAAGUUUAACGAGACGAUCGACGAUUUGAAAGUCGCAACAUCGAAACGCAGCCGGAAGCACCGAAGGCUCCGUGCUUCGAUAGCAUAGUACAGCCUCUAAUAUUUAUAUAUCAAUAUAUAUAUAUAUAUAUAUAUAUAUAUAUAUAUAUAUAUGAGAUCUCGAAAUAAUCAUUUGUUCUGCUAAGAACGGUGUUUAUAAUAUUUGUAUUCAACACUCUACUAGACUCGAACUCUGAAUCUCCUAUUCCGAUACUAUAUUAACUAUGUAAAAUAAUUAUUAUUUUUCAAGAGUUUAAGUUGUAAGAGAAUAGUAUUUUCGAUACUAUUAUAUACAACAUGAUAGAUAUAUUACAUGGUUUUGAAAAUCGUUCCACACAAUUUCCAAUCAACCAAUAAAAACAUAUUUGUUAAAUUUUAACAAAAUGCUGAAUAAAAUGUUCAUGCAUGUAAACAAUAAUUAAUAUGGGUAAUCACUCUCUGAUUUUGCGCACUUAAUGUAAAUCAUAAGUACAAGAAACUAUCAAAAAGAUAGUCUUUAUAAACAAGUAAACCUAAGUACUUGAAUAGUUCUCUUUUUAGUUCAAUUUUCCUUAUUAGUUACUCUAAGGAUCUUUCUAUGCUUUCCACUAAAAAGUUAUUAUUAAAGUAAGUAUGAAUAAUAUAUUUAUUAUUGUUAUUGUUAUCAUCAUCAAUCCACCAACUUUAGAAAACAACAAAGGGGACAGUUAUUAACACAAAGUGGGAUAUAUAUAUAUAUAAAUAUGUAUAUGUAUGUAUUUAUGAUUGUGUCCACUCAAAUGGUGCCCUAUAAAUAGGACCAUAGUGUAAUGUGUAUGCAAUGUACAAGAGAAGCUAACAUACAUAGUCUACUUGAAGAAUAUAUAGUAGUGUGUGAGGUUUGAGAAAAUGGCCAUGGGAAGAGGCAGUGUUAAUCUUGUUCUCCUCUCCUUUUUGCUCGUCAUGAUAUGCGCGCCGCGUCGCACACUCGCCGACACCCACAUCGUCGGAGGUUCGCAGGGAUGGGGAUUCUCCGUCUCGUACGACAGCUGGGCUGGCGGGCAGAGCUUCGCUACUGGCGACACCCUCGGUCUCUCUCUCUCUCCCGCAAACACGAGCUUAUAAUUAGAACUGAACAGUUGCUUUUCUGUACAAAGUUUAAACUGUCAAAGAACAGAACUUUAAUAUGUUAUUCUUUUCUUUUUAUGAAUAUGACAGUAUUCAAAUACCAAGCGGGGCUCCACAACGUCGUGCCCGUGGGCGCGGCGGGUUACCGAAGCUGCAAGGCUUCGUCGUCGGAGGCCUCGCGGGCGGCGACGACAGGCGACGACAAGUUCACUCUGAAGAAAGGGUCCAACUACUUCAUCUGCAGCAUCCCGGGGCACUGCGCCGCCGGCAUGAAGAUCCAAGUCCUCGCCCAGUGAGCAGCCGAUCCCGGCCCGGCCCGGCUCGACCCGACCCGAAAAGAAAUAUCUUGGGCUUUUAUAAUAUAAAUAAUGAGCACAACAUGGGCCAUAUAUGAACUACUACUAGUAUUGCUAAUAACUUUUCAUUUCACUGUUUAUUAUAAUCAGGUGUGAAACUACAUAAUGUAAUAGCACUGUGAGUGGUGGUAAUAAAUGUAUUUCCUAGUUGCAAGUAAAAUGCAACUCUACUAACUAUAUGGGGCUUCUUAAUUUCAAAAAUAAUCCCCUCUACAAACAUGUUUAAUUAUGGAUUAAGACGAACGAGCUAAACACAGCCCAUCCCCGAUGCCUGUUUUCGCUUGCCAAUGACACAUCAAAUAAUUCUAAAUUAGAUGAGAAUGAAUUAGAUGGUUUUUUUUAUAAUCAAAUUUCUAAUGUUUAUUAGUUAUUUUAAUUAAAUUUGCAUGCAAGAUGUGGAUCUGAGGUAGUAAAUUUUAUUUGGUGCUAGUGACAGCAAAAACUAAACUCCAAUAACCAAAUAAUUUUAAAUCAUUUAAUAAUAAAGAUUCAAAAGUUAAGAACUAAAGUAAAAAAACUGGAUAAACACGGGACUAAAAUGCAAUUAACACGAAUUUUCAGUUUUUCGUCCGGUUGGUUUUAAGAAAUAUUAGACUUUUUGAAAACUUUUCUUCACAUUUUAUAGAAAUUAGUCUUUUCGUUUUCCUAAAAAAAUUUGAAAACGAAAACACUAUUUUUUUUUUAAUGAAAUUUGAAUUUUUUUAAAAAAAUAAUUUUGUUGAAAUCAAACGGGCCAAAACUGAAAAAAAAAAAAAUUUAUAAAAAAAAAGAAAAAACUUCAAAAACCGACCCUGUCGUUUUACACUUUUUCACUUUAGUAUCAUAUGGUUUAAAAUAUAUCUAUUUUGUACUCUUUGGACUGUGGUUUCGCACUUUCUCGCUUUAGUAUCCUGUGGUUUAAAGUGCAUCAAUUUAGUACCCCGUCGUUUCAUUUUUCUCUUUUCGUCGGCUCCUUUUCGUUAAAUUAUAUACAAAAAACAUCAGAUAUCCUACUUAGGUUUAUUGAAUAUUUACUUUAAUAUCCUUUAAUUUUAACUUUGUUACUAUUUUUUUUCUCCGUUAAUAUUUUGUUAAAUUAUAUACAAAAAACUUCAAAUAUCCUAUCUAGAUUUAUCAAAUAUUCACUUUAGUAUUCUUUAAUUUUAAUUUUGUCACUGAUUCAACGAAAAAAAAAUAGUGAAAUGGAUAAUAAAAAUAAAAAAAAUGAAACCACAGAGUACAAAUUUGAUACACUUUAAACCAUUGGGUAUUAAAGUAAAAAAGUGCGAAACCACAGGGGCCAACUUGAUACACUUUAGGAUACUAAAGUGAGAAACUGUGAAAC
rnacentral:lncRNA from 1 species